UACGAAGGGGGCUAGCGUUGCUCGGAAUCACUGGGCGUAAAGGGUGCGUAGGCGGGUUUUUAAGUCAGGGGUGAAAUCCUGGAGCUCAACUCCAGAACUGCCUUUGAUACUGAAGAUCUUGAGUUCGGGAGAGGUGAGUGGAACUGCGAGUGUAGAGGUGAAAUUCGUAGAUAUUCGCAAGAACACCCAAGUGGCGAAGGCGGCUCACUGGCCCG
rnacentral:rRNA from 1 species